ACUAAAGCUAGCCCAACUACCCCACCCCACUAUAAAUAAGAUAAAGCAUUUAACCACCAACUUAAAGUAUAGGAGAUAGAAAUCUGAAACCAUUUGGCGCAAUAGAGAUAGUACCGUAAGGGAAUGAUGAAAGAAGCAACAAAAGUAUCAAAAAGCAAAGAUCACACCUUGUACCUUUCGCAUAAUGAUUUAACUAGCAAAACCUUAGCAAAGAGAACUUAAGCUAAGCCACCCGAAACCAGACGAGCUACUUAUGAACAGUUUACCAGAACAAACUCAUCUAUGUGGCAAAAUAGUGAAAAGAUUUAUAAGUAGAGGUGAAAAGCCUAACGAGCCUGGUGAUAGCUGGUUGUCCAGAAAAAGAAUCUAAGUUCAAUUUCAAAAUUACCAAAAGCCCAAAUCAAGCCUAAUGUAAUUUUAAAAUUUAGUCUAAAAAGGUACAGCUUUUUAGACAAAGGAUACAACCUUGACUAGUGAGUAAAUUCAAACAACACCAUAGUUGGCCUAAAAGCAGCCACCAAUUAAGAUAGCGUUCAAGCUCGACAAUAAGCACAACCUAAUUCCCAUAUCAAGCAAACAACUCCUAGCCUAACUACUGGACUAUUCUAUUCAAACAUAGAAGCAAUACUGUUAAUAUGAGUAACAAGAAACAAUUCUCCCAGCACAAGCCUACGUCAGCAACUGAUAAUAUACUGACAGUUAACAACAAGUAAAUAUAACCUAACACUAAAACAUUUACCCCAUACACUGUUAACCCAACACAGGCGUGCACCCAAGGAAAGAUUAAAAAAAGCAAAAGGAACUCGGCAAACACAAACCCCGCCUGUUUACCAAAAACAUCACCUCUAGCAUCACUAGUAUUAGAGGCACUGCCUGCCCAGUGACAACUGUUAAACGGCCGCGGUAUCCUGACCGUGCAAAGGUAGCAUAAUCAUUUGUUCCUUAAAUAGGGACUUGUAUGAAUGGCCACACGAGGGUUUUACUGUCUCUUGCUUUCAAUCAGUGAAAUUGACCUUCCCGUGAAGAGGCGGGAAUAAUACAAUAAGACGAGAAGACCCUGUGGAGCUUCAAUUAGCUGACUCAAUAAAAACAAAAUAAACCCGCAAGGCACAAUAAAAUCCUAUAUGAGUCAGUAAUUUUGGUUGGGGUGACCUCGGAGAAAAAAGAAUCCUCCGAGUGAUAAAAAUCUAGACUCACCAGUCAAAACAUAACAACACUCAUUGACCCAAAACCUUUGAUCAACGGAACAAGUUACCCCAGGGAUAACAGCGCAAUCCUAUUCUAGAGUCCAUAUCGACAAUAGGGUUUACGACCUCGAUGUUGGAUCAGGACAUCCCAAUGGUGCAGCCGCUAUUAAAGGUUCGUUUGUUCAACGAUUAAAGUCCUACGUGAUCUGAGUUCAGACCGGAGCAAUCCAGGUCAGUUUCUAUCUAUUAUACAUUUCUCCCAGUACGAAAGGACAAGAGAAAUGAGGCCUACUUCCAAUAAGCGCCUUAAAACUAAUUAAUGAUAUAGUCUUAACUUAAUUAAAUAGUAUAAAUAUACCAGCCCUAGACCAGGGCACA
rnacentral:rRNA from 1 species